CCUACGGGUGGCAGCAGUGAGGAAUAUUGGUCAAUGGACGCAAGUCUGAACCAGCCAUGCCGCGUGCAGGAAGACGGCUCUAUGAGUUGUAAACUGCUUUUGUACGAGGGUAAACGCAGAUACGCGUAUCUGUCUGAAAGUAUCGUACGAAUAAGGAUCGGCUAACUCCGUGCCAGAAGCCGCGGUAAUACGGAGGAUUCAAGCGUUAUCCGGAUUUAUUGGGUUUAAAGGGUGCGUAGGCGGUCGGAUAAGUUAGAGGUGAAAUCCCGAGGCUCAACUUCGGAAUUGCCUCUGAUACUGGUCGGCUAGAGAGUAGUUGCGGUAGGCGGAAUGUAUGGUGUAGCGGUGGAAUGCUUAGAGAUCAUACAGAACACCGAUUGCGAAGGCAGCUUACCAAGCUACUUCUGACGUUGAGGCACGAAAGCGUGGGGAGCAAACAGGAUUAGAUACCCCAGUAGUC
rnacentral:rRNA from 1 species